rnacentral:sRNA from 1 species
GCUGAGUGUGGUGGCGCAUACCUGUGAUCCCAGCGGCUCUGGAGGCUGAGGCAGGAGGAUCCCGAGUUCAGAGCCAGCCUCAGCAACUUGGUGAGGCCCUAAGCAACUUUGCGAGACUCUGUCUCUA